GCCCCGGUGGAUCAAUGCAGAUCAUCCCUCCAUGUUGAUCCAAGCACACACGGGAGUUGGUACAGGGAAGAUGGGGGUUCGAAUCCUCCCCGGGGCA